GCUGGCGCGGAGCAGCGAGGCGCAGGCGGCAGAGCGCUUAGAUGCGGCGGGGCCAGGGCGCGGCGCUGCUGGGGCUGACGGCGGUGCUGCUGCUGGCAGCUGCAGCCAGAGCCCAGGUGCAACAGGAGCCGUCAGCAGACACCACCGAGGGCAGCGGCAUCUCCGUCACCUGCUCACACCCCAACAUCCAGUCCCACCAGAUAAUUUACUGGUACCGGCAGCUCCCGAGACAGGGUCCCACCUUCCUCGCUGGAGCUCUCCAGGGCUCGCAGGAGCUGCGGUCCCCGGCCGGGCGGCUGUCGGUGGCGGCAGACCGCCGCUCCAGCACCCUGUGGCUUGCCCGGCCCCGGCUCAGGGACGCGGCGGUGUAUUCCUGCGCCCUGGGGGACACGGGGAGAGAAGCCGGGGCUGCGUCCGGGCACGAACUGCCGCGAGUGUGCCAGGGCCGUGGGGACAGUCCCGGGCGGGCCCGCCAGGGGCUGCUGCCGAUCCCCCAAAGCGAGCGCCCUUGGCCCCGGCAGCAUCACUGCAUCGGCUGGAUGCAGCCAGCAGGGGCUGCAAGUUCCGCUGCGAGGAAAACACCAGCAGGUGCUGGCAGGUAGAAGCCUUCAGAUGCAGGAGUCCAUGGAGUCACCAUGGUUGGAAGAGGCCUCUGAGGUCAUCAAGUCUGCCCACGAGCUAACUCUGCCAGGGCCACUCCUGCACCAUGGCCUUGAGCACCAUGUCCAGAUGGCUUUCCAGUACAUCCAAGAAUGGUGAUUCAACUGCUUCCCUGGGCAGCCUGUGCCAGACUUUGAGAGCCCUUUCAGUACAGGACUUUUUCUGGUGUCCAACCUAUGUCUUCCCUGGUGUAAACUGAGGCCAUUUCCUCUUGUCUUAUCAGUUGUGACUUGUCAGAA